UCGCCGAGGGAUGUGGCAC
rnacentral:siRNA from 1 species